CAAGCACAGCACCUCGGUGUGGAGAUCUGUCGACACCUAGAUCUCGACAUGCAGCAGGAGGUUGUCCCAUGGAUGGCUAUCGCUCUAGGUCCAGAGGUAGGUCCAGCAGAGGAUACAGACACAGGUCCAGAUCACGGCACAGUGGUUCGAGGAACACGGACAGGUCCAGGUCACAGCACGGUGGUUCG